ensembl:lncRNA
GUUUCUGCCUGAGUGAUGCGGGAGAGGAGGUUGAACAACAGUAAAGAAACCGGACAGCAUCACCUGAAGGUAGCAAUAGAACACCAGGCUUUCAGUUGCAAGAUCACUUCCUUUAUUCAUUUGCAUAAAUAUAAAUAUUCAUCCUGUGCAUUCUCAAGGAGAAUUAAUGCAGGACAAAUUCUGUUUGGCUCCUUUGGAAAAGCAGUUUUUGUAAAGCACUGCAAUGAUCUGUCACAAGUUACUCAAAGUACUAAUUUAUCUUCUUUAAUUUCACCCACCAGAAUCCAAAAAGCCAAGAUGGCCUUUCUCCAGGAGAGGAGUGCUGACAUUCUGUGGUCCCGUGGGUCAGACUGUGGCUCAGGAAUGGCUCUUCACCCUUUCGUGGCUCAUAGACAAGAUGUACAGUCUGUUCUCAUGCAUGUCGAACAGCAAAAGAUGCUAAGACUACCAAAGGCGGGUUGUUGAAAGAAAUCAUGUUUGAAAAUCCUGAUUCUAACAACUUUAAGCAGGGCAAAGACAAACACAAAUACAUAUCCAAUCUGGAAGACUGCCUCUCCUCUCUGAAGACUAUAAGACUUCAGGGAUCAUGAGUUCCACAGCCUGAAGGUAUCUCAUACCUGUUUUCUGUGUUGCACACCUUCUUAUUUUUGUUGGUGUUAGUCAUUAAAUUGUCAGAUUAUUGUCUUUUUCAUAACAGCAGAGAAGGAGAGAAGUCCAGACUUGGGCAGAAUGAGAUCUGCUCUCUAAAGCACACUGACACCUCAGGAAAAUCAUUUUAUCCUAAAGAAAGUAAUGACUGUGAAAGCACUUUGUAGACCAUGAAGCCUUAUAUGAAUGUUAAUAGUUGUUACAACUGUUCCCCUCUCUAGGCCUUAAUCUCCUCAUUUGAAAAAUAAGUUGGUUUUGAGAAGACAGUUCCUGAAGUUCUCUUUAAACUUUAUAACUCUUACUUCAUGAUUCUUUAGUAAUUAAUUUCAACAAGUUUUGCCAGUAGAACCUGGAUCAGGCUUCGUAGUUCUGAGUUUGGAGUUCUUUUGGUGGGUUUGGGCAAUAAACUGAUAAGGAGUCAUGAAAUCCUCA